rnacentral:rRNA from 1 species
CAGCAGCCGCGGGAAUACGAAGGGGGCUAGCGUUGCUCGGAAUCACUGGGCGUAAAGGGUGCGUAGGCGGGUCUUUAAGUCAGGGGUGAAAUCCUGGAGCUCAACUCCAGAACUGCCCUUGAUACUGGAAGUCUUGAGUAUGGGAGAGGUGAGUGGAACUGCGAGUGUAGAGGUGAAAUUCGUAGAUAUUCGCAAGAACACCAGUGGCGAAGGCGGCUCACUGGCCCAUAACUGACGCUGAGGCACGAAAGCGUGGGGAGCAAACAGGAUUAGAUACCCCAGUAGUCCCUGUCUCUUAUAC